AUAAACCAGCGGCGGUAGCCGCGGGUGGUCCGUAACGAUGAGCUAAACGCCGGUGAACCGCGUCCACGCAGAGCGGCCGGGAUGUAUCGUCUCAGCAUCGGCCGGAGAGCAUUUCCGAUCAGAGGCCGACGUCGCCGAGACAUCUUGCAUAUUAGCAAACGCUCCCUGAGCGAUAUCGUCCCGAUGGAAUUUUGUAGGUCGGCUCGACAUCGGCACAACGUAUGUGUGCUGUCUGGGUCGCAUUCGAAGGCUGCAUACGUCAUCGUGGUUGUCUCAUUUCAGAAAAGCAAGUAGCACACUCCGAAUGAGACCUUCGAAUGCGACCUUUUUUCACAGGAAUUCGAAGGAUACAUGAGGUGUAUCCUUCGCUGCUACAAAUAACCCACAAUCCCUUGCGUCGCCAUAAAUAACCGUUGUUUAUUUGAAAAAAUGGCGGCGGCAGAUCUACACACAAGCGAUGUGGUGUUUAAAUGGAGCAAGGAAAAUACAAAGACGUUUAUAAGAUUAAGGCAGGAACAUUCUGAUCUCUUCACUGGAGCUAAAAAUACAGCCUUAUAUGGUUGGAGAUUUAUUCUGGAGAAAAUGGACCUUUCCAGUAAAAUAACACCAGUGCAAGCUAAGAAAAAGUGGGACAAUUAAAAAAAAAAAGUAUAAGGAAUGCAAACAUCCAGGGUCAGGUGAGGGCAUGAACAACGGAAAGCCAACUGCUGAAACCUGGCCGUGGUUUGUCCUGAUGGAUGAGAUGUUGGGUCAGAGGCCUUCCAUUUCUCCCCCUGUUCUCAUUUCUUCACU